rnacentral:lncRNA from 1 species
GCAGCAGUUUAACUCACAUACUUAACAGGCACGGAACCGUCCAUUUGGCUGCAGAGGUACACAACUGUGGUGUUUUAGGAAAAACACCCCUUUGCCUCUCAGUAAUUUUGUGCUUCAAAUUUCAAAUUCAAAUUCAGGGAUCAGGACCCCUGGUGCAGAUAGCUUUCAGCUAUUUUUUCAGCUAGUUGACCAAAUGUGAGAUAGGCAGGCAGGCAGGUGCUUGAAAUGUUUGGCAAAGUGGAUAAUUGAGUGGGCCUCUUUAAACUCUGUGAAACAGCUGUCUUAAAUGUUAAGCUAUUUUGUAGGAUAGCCUGGGUAUGCAGACAGAAGGGGAAAGGGAGGACAUAAGCAAAGGCCAAGAUUGAAUUCUUCAGUCCUGGAGCACCCCAGGAGUACUUUGUCUCCUGCAUAGAGAUGUUCAACUCUAUAGGGAAUCCUGGUGUGUAAGCAGAGCAAGCCUGUCACAAGUCUUCAUUCUCCUGGUUAUCAGAUGCCCUGAGCCCAACUACAGGUGCUCCAUUACCAAGAGAAAUGCUCUUUAUUUCUGGAUAACCCUGGCAUUUUUGUUACAAACACUUCCCUUUUCGGAGAAGGCUAAGUAUAUCACUUUUUAUUUGUAUUUUUUCCAGGCUACUUAA